rnacentral:rRNA from 1 species
AGUGAACGCUGGCGGUAGGCCUAACACAUGCAAGUCGAACGGCAGCACAGUAAGAGCUUGCUCUUACGGGUGGCGAGUGGCGGACGGGUGAGGAAUACAUCGGAAUCUACUUUUUCGUGGGGGAUCACGUAGGGAAACUUACGCUAAUACCGCAUACGACCUACGGUUGAAAGCAGGGGAUCUUCGGACCUUGCGCGAUUGAAUGAGCCGAUGUCGGAUUAGCUAGUUGGCGGGGUAAAGGCCCACCAAGGCGACGAUCCGUAGCUGGUCUGAGAGGAUGGUCGGCGACACGGGAACUGGGACACGGUCAAGACGACUAAGGGAGGCAGCAGUGGGGAAUAUGGGACAAUGGGCGCAAGCCUGAUACAGCCAUAGCGCGUGUGUGAAGAAGGCGUUCGGGUUGUAAAGACCUUUUGUUGGGAAAGAAAAGCAGCAGGUUAAGACCCCGCGGUUCUGACGGUACCCAAAGAAGAAGCACCGGCUAACUUCGUG